rnacentral:lncRNA from 1 species
UCAGCUUCGGCAUUCCAGCCUGGAACAAUCCUCCCAGACCUGGAGGUCUCCUUUAGGUUCUGCGGAAGAAGAAACACCCGACAGACUAUGCCCCCUGGUCUGACCCAGAGAAAUGCACGGGAGAAGCUAAAAAAAGACACUGCUGGACUCGUCACAGCCGCCGGGAAACAAGAAUUAAGACAGUUCGAAGAGUCCCAUUCAAAGUGGGCGGUCUAGAAAAUGAAAAUUUUAAAUUCCACAGCAGCAACAGCAGCUCUCAUGUAUGGAGAAUCUGCUGGAUCCAGGGCUCUAUCCUUGCGUGGUCUCUGACUCCUAAGACAGCGGAAGCCAGCAUCGCUGUGCUCAUUUGAUAGACUCAGAGAAA